GCGUUAGUAGUGUAACGGGUUGAAGCAAGAGCUCUCGGAUAGGCUGAGAUGUGGGUUCGAGUCCCGCCUAAUGCG